AGUUUGAUCCUGGCUCAGUAGGUCCUAACAAGGUAACCAGUAUUGGAUCCCCUAAAGUUUGAUCCUGGCUCAAUAAGUCCGAACAAGGUAAACAGUUUUGGUUCCCCUAAAGUUUUAUCCUGGCUCCCGAAAGGCUAAAAAAGAAAACAUGGUUUUGCCCUCUCUUAUUUAUGCCCCCGCCCCGUAUUAGCUAGUUGGUAAGGUAACGGCUUACCUCGGCAACUUUACCUACCCCACCUGAGAGGGUGAUCGGCCACACUGGAACUGAGACACGGUCCAGACUCCUACGGGAGGCAGCAGUAGGGAAUCUUCCGCAAUGGGCGAAAGCCUGACGGAGCAACGCCGCGUGAGUGAUGAAGGGUUUCGGCUCGUAAAACUCUGUUAUUAGGGAAGAACAAACGUGUAAGUAACUGUGCACGUCUUGACGGUACCUAAUCAGAAAGCCACGGCUAACUACGUGCCAGCAGCCGCGGUAAUACGUAGGUGGCAAGCGUUAUCCGGAAUUAUUGGGCGUAAAGCGCGCGUAGGCGGUUUCUUAAGUCUGAUGUGAAAGCCCACGGCUCAACCGUGGAGGGUCAUUGGAAACUGGGAAACUUGAGUGCAGAAGAGGAAAGUGGAAUUCCAUGUGUAGCGGUGAAAUGCGCAGAGAUAUGGAGGAACACCAGUGGCGAAGGCGACUUUCUGGUCUGUAACUGACGCUGAUGUGCGAAAGCGUGGGGAUCAAACAAGAUUAGAUACCCUGGUAGUCCACGCCGUAAACGAUGAGUGCUAAGUGUUAGGGGGGUUUCCGCCCCUUAGUGCUGCAGCUAACGCAUUAAGCACUCCGCCUGGGGAGUACGACGGUCAUUGGAAACUGGGAAACUUGAGUGCAGAAGAGGAAAGUGGAAUUCCAUGUGUAGCGGUGAAAUGCGCAGAGAUAUGGAGGAACACCAGUGGCGAAGGCGACUUUCUGGUCUGUAACUGACGCUGAUGUGCGAAAGCGUGGGGAUCAAACAGGAUUAGAUACCCUGGUAGUCCACGCCGUAAACGAUGAGUGCUAAGUGUUAGGGGGUUUCCGCCCCUUAGUGCUGCAGCUAACGCAUUAAGCACUCCGCCUGGGGAGUACGACCGCAAGGUUGAAACUCAAAGGAAUUGACGGGGACCCGCACAAGCGGUGGAGCAUGUGGUUUAAUUUGAAGCAACGCGAAGAACCUUACCAAAUCUUGACAUCCUUUGAAAACUCUAGAGAUAGAGCCUUCCCCUUCGGGGGACAAAGUGACAGGUGGUGCAUGGUUGUCGUCAGCUCGUGUCGUGAGAUGUUGGGUUAAGUCCCGCAACGAGCGCAACCCUUAAGCUUAGUUGCCAUCAUUAAGUUGGGCACUCUAGGUUGACUGCCGGUGACAAACCGGAGGAAGGUGGGGAUGACGUCAAAUCAUCAUGCCCCUUAUGAUUUGGGGUACACACGUGCUACAAUGGACAAUACAAAGGGCAGUUAAACCGCGAGGUCAUGCAAAUCCCAUAAAGUUGUUUUCAGACCCUUUAGUAUUUGACAACUCGACAACAAGUAGAAAAAAGGUAACCUAAUUGGAGAUCUGCAGGGUUUGACCCGGGCUCAGCAAGUUGUAACAAGGUAACCCGUUUUGGAUCCUUAGAGUUUGACCCGGCUCAGGAAGUCGUAACAAGGUAACCAGUAUGGACCUCUAGAU
rnacentral:rRNA from 1 species